rnacentral:ncRNA from 1 species
GAUUCAGACAUUUGGUUCAUGUGCUUGGCUGAUAAGCCAAUGGUGCGAAGCUACCAUCUGAGGGAUUAUGACUGAACGCCUCUAAGUCAGAAUCCCGCCUGGAAAGCGACGAUGCAUUCGUGCCUCGGCCUCGAGAGGCGUAGCUAGACGGCCGUGUGGCCGUGGAAAGAGCCCGAUUCCGACCCGAGAGGCCGCGGCAAGAGGCGGCCUCGAAGUCGGUGGAUCCUCCUGCUCGAAAGGCGGGGUGCUAAACCAUUCGCAGACGACCUAGUUGAAGAUCGGGGUGUCGUGAUCACUAGAGCAGUACAUCUCACUGCGAUUUGUUGAGAGUAAGCCUCAAGAUCUGUCGGUUUGU